UACGUAGGGGGCAAGCGUUAUCCGGAUUUACUGGGUGUAAAGGGAGCGUAGACGGUUAUGUAAGUCUGAUGUGAAAGCCCACGGCUCAACCGUGGAGGGUCAUUGGAAACUGGGGGACUUGAGUGCAGGAGAGAAGAGUGGAAUUCCACGUGUAGCGGUGAAAUGCGUAGAGAUGUGGAGGAACACCGGUGGCGAAGGCGGCCCACUGGUCCGGUACUGACGCUGAGGUGCGAAAGCGUGGGGAGCAAACAGG
rnacentral:rRNA from 1 species